UACGUAGGGUGCGAGCGUUGUCCGGAAUUAUUGGGCGUAAAGAGCUUGUAGGCGGUUUGUCGCGUCUGCUGUGAAAAUCCGGGGCUCAACCCCGGGCUUGCAGUGGGUACGGGCAGACUAGAGUGUGGUAGGGGAGACUGGAAUUCCAGGUGUAGCGGUGAAAUGCGUAGAUAUCUGGAGGAACACCGGUGGCGAAGGCGGCAUCCUGGACCGGCAUUGACGCUGAGGCGCGAAAGCCAGGGGAGCAAACGGG
rnacentral:rRNA from 1 species